rnacentral:ncRNA from 1 species
UUUUGUAAUCCAGUUCACUAUGACUCACAUGAAAUUUUUUUCCUCGGUUCCUCAUACAUAAAACCUUCAAGUGCCCAUUAAGUAGCUUGUUUUAUCCUCUGAGCGAACACAGGUAUGCACAUGACAUGUAAUGAGUUACAUGUAAUGGUUCGCCUUCGGCGUUAAUCGUGUGUGUAUGCCGGUUUUCUACCAGAGUUUCGACCUUUCUAGUGAAUAGUGAGUUUGCCUUCAAUAAAUUAGAAUGCUCAAAACAAGGGCUUGCUUAAAUCGCUGAUCAUGAAAUAAUAGAAGAUAACUUCGAUUCUAUUAAUCAAUUCAAAAAAUGGAAUGAAUGGUUAAGGAGGACAUUCGUAUCCCUGUGCGAAGAGAGAAGAAAUUCGUGAACGUAAACUAUGCCAUCUAGCAAUUCGAUGGGGUACUAAUAACAGGGCGUUGUCAAGCAGCUUCUAAGGCACGAAAGUCUUUCGGUUCUUGUGAUAGUAUGAUUGCAAGCUAAAACUUAGGGAAAUUGACGGAAUAGCAAUACUAGGAGUAGAGUCUGCAGCUUCAUUUGACUCAACACGGCCGAACUCAUCUGGCCCAAAUGCGGAAAAGAUUGACAGAUUAAAGUUGGGCAACUAAGCCCGCAUUUGGACACUAAAAUUGGGCAACUCGACCGACUUUACGUUUGAAUACUAUAGUAUUCCUCGUACUAGACGGUUUUAGUUAUCAAUCCAAUGUGUAAUCUUAAGAAUUGUCCACCUUCUGUCCUAAACAUUGCACGAGUAAGCCAGACUUAGGCCAUUAAAAUUUAUCAAUCAGACCGUUUUAAUGGUUUUUACACUAUAGUGUUCAUCAUACUAGACGAUUUCAAUUAUCAGCUCAAUGUGUAAGCUUGAGUAUUUUCCGUCUUUUCCCUCAAUUUGGGCAACUAAACAUAACCUAAACCCUUCAAAUUGGGCAAACAAACCACUUCGGCCCUUAUAUAAUACUGUUAAUCUGAAACUGAUGAAAUAGUUCCUCAGUUCAACUGCCUCCAAAAUAUCAUGAAACUGUUGGU